CGCUCUCUAGAAUGAAACCGUCCCUCUCCUGUGAACACCACCUGCCUCUGAUUAGCAAACCAUGCUUCUGUGACUACAGACUAUUGAUCUUUCCACAAGUGUCCGGACACAUCUUGUUUUUUGUUUUAGGGCUUUGAGGAUAUUUGACCUGCUUUUUCUUCACUCAGAAAUAUAUUAAUGAGAACAUAUUCCAGAAUGCUGAGAGUCAAUGCUUACUGCAGCUGGAUAUCAUGUCGUUCGCUAAUGUGUAGAAGGGGUGAAGAAAACUCAAACAGACUGCUUUAAUCGUGCAACUCAGAGCUACAGGACACGGAGAAGAAAGGGAAGCAUCCAUUCCUCAUUCACUUAAAUUGUAUGGAAAAGAGCAGCAUGGACAUUUUGCCAAACAUCUCCUUUUGUGAUCCAGAGAAGAAAGAGUCAGAGUAUGGAAAAGGACAUCAUGAACGAUUUCAAAGCAUCUCCUUCAGUGAUCCACAGACAAAAGAGUCAG